UAAGCGAGAGAAAAAUAGAGAAGAGGCAAAAAGAGGCUACCUACAAUGCAGUGGGACUUGGGGAAAACCGAUCAGGCUCCGACAUCAGACAAAGACGGUGAGAGAGAUAGAAAGCAUACCUUAAACACAUGCGACGAACACCGGAAGGGCGUACAAAUGUAGCAGCGAUCUAAGCGGACGCCAUUGUUCUUCCGGUAAUAUGAGCUUCAAAAGCAGGGGGGCCAUGGCCUCCCCUGACCCCUAAGAGGGUCCACCACUGCCCUAAAGGGAAUAGUGAUUAUGAAAGAGAAAGAGAAGGAGGAAUGAGCAUGCUUAAAUCCAUCAGUAAAAGCUUCAAAUUUGAUGAUAUAAACACUACUACUACAACACCAUUAAAAGAGUUUAACAAAGGCUCUUCAAGAAUUCGGAAGAACAAGCAUCAUCUUCUUCAAAAUGAUCGAAAUGACCUUACAAAUUCUGCAAGAUGGAGUAGAUUGGUAGAAGAUAUGUUGUGGUAGGUUCUAGUGAUCUUAUGGACAUGUCAUGGAGGUAAUAAAUAUUAAAAAUAUUUUUCUUUAUUACAAUGGUUGGUUUAUAAAUUAUAAUAAGAAAAAAGAGAAGGAAAAUAUAUUUUUUAAUAUUUGUGUAUGAUGUUCGAUAACAAAGAGGAGAGGGAAAGGGGGGGUGGUCCUGUGUAUCCUUCGAAUGGUAGACCUCGAUGGAGGUCAGAUGAUGCAAGUGAUUAUGAAGAAGAACACCAUCAUAUUUAGAGCCUUGAAAGAUUUAUUAACCAAACACCAUCAAAAGGAUUGAGAAGAAGCAGGAGGCUAGCUGGAAGAUGACUGUUGACUGUUUUUUUCAAGAUUUUGGAAGUCAUUAUUGGCUAUAUAGUUUUGUGUGUGUGAUGAUAUGAAUUGGAAGAUUUAGAGUAUAAAUUAUGUUUAUUUGAAAAUAUUAAAUA